rnacentral:tRNA from 1 species
GCCUGGGUGGCUCAGUCGGUUGGGCAUCCGACUUUGGCUCGGGUCAUGAUCUCACAGUUCGUGAGUUCAAUCCCCACAUCGGGCU